GACGAACGCUGGCGGCGUGCCUAAUACAUGCAAGUAGGACGCAGUUGCGAACGGUUGAGUAACGCGUAGGUAACUGCCUAUUAGAGGGGGAUAACUAUUGGAACCGAUAGCUAAUACCGCAUAAUAGUAGAUGGACCUGCGUUGUAUUAGCUAGUAGGUAGGGUAAUGGCCUACCUAGGCGAUGAUACAUAGCCGACCUGAGAGGGUUAUCGGCCACACUGAAACUGAGAAACGGUCCAGACUCCUACGGGAGGCAUCAGUGGGGAAUAUUGCACAAUGGGCGCAAGCCUGAUGCAUCCAUGCCGAGUGUAUGAAGAAGGCCUUCGGGUUGUAAAGUACUUGCAGCGGGGAGGCGUUACCCGCAGAAGAAGCACCGUCUAACUCCGUGCCAGCAGCCGCGGUAAUAC
rnacentral:rRNA from 1 species